GCUCCAUCAUCAACAUCAGAAGCAUCAACGUUGGCAUCAAACUGCAGAUCUGGGUGUUUCAUAUGAAGACAAAGGGACCUCUGCCAACCUCUGUGACAACCAAGCUUUGUUUACGGAAACAAGUGGCUGAGUAGAUUUCUUUACUGAAAAAGAGACGCAACUCAGCGCAACGCCAUCAUUUCAGGAGUCGUCAGCCAGAACAAUUCCAUCACGUCGCUUCUCCAGUUUCUUGAAGACCUUACCAGCAAUCACCUGUCACCAUGGCCUGGUCUCGCUUGAAAGAGGAGUUUUCCAGAAGCAAACUGAAGCUUGUUCCUCCAAAUCCAGAUGUCCUGC